UCAUGUUAGGUUUUGUUUUACGCAACCUUGCUACCAAUAGGAAGUGUAUCUUGUAGUAAAUGUACAUAAUCUAAUAAAUGCUUAGAUUUAGGAUAGAAUCAUUAGCAAGUAUGGAGUAUAAGAUACUGAAAUGUAAGCUCAACCUAGAUGCAUCUUAGGAUAGACCUCAAACAAAAUGAUGUUUAGUUUUCCUAUAGUCUACUGCUAAUAUUCAGAUGCACUGCAAACUUUGACUCAUUCCCAUUCAGAUGAACUGUUGAUGAAUUGAAGGAAGAUUAUAAAGGUCACUAAUGGAAUAUAUUUAUAUUUCACUGAAUGUACCCAUAACAAUAAUUUCUCUUUUCAAAUUUAACUUAGUGAAAUUACUGAAUGUGCCUAGAAUAGUAAUUUCUCUUUUCAAAUGAGCUGUUAAUGAAAGAGGGAAGACUAAUUUAUGAGGUUGUGGCAUUUGUAUGUCCUUUAAUGAUUUAUGCUUUCAAACCUGGGUCUCAUGUUGUUCCUUUCUCCGAGGAGGUUGGACUUUGAUGGAGGAGGAAAUGAGGAAGUCGGUGAAAGCAAUGCAGACUCUGAGGACCUGUCUUUGAUCAGAAAACAGCUUCUUCACAUAGAGAGACAACAAUCUGAUAUGAUGGUUCUCAUCCAGAGAUUUAUGGGUAAUUCUCUAAGUAGGAUUGGCUCUUUGGAGAAUAGAGUAUCUGGCAUCGAGAUAGCAUUGAAUGAGAUCUCACAUGAUUUAGUUGUGCAAAGAGGAAGAAUUGCCAACAAUGACUUAGCAGGAAGCACUUGUUGUCCUAGUACGUAAUUCCUGAGUCCGAAAUUCUGGAGAAGAACAGAAGGAAGGUCUUCCUCAUUUCCAAAGUCAUCCUAUUCAGGAAGUAUGUCUAGUAGUCUUAAAGCUGCUCCACAGAUGGAUGGUUUUAAGCACCACGAGCAGAACGAAGGCUUUUACCUGGAGCCAUGGGGAAGUGUCAAAGGCAUAGGCCAAACUGCCCAGAGAGGAAGAAAUUACAGUCCCAGAAGCUUUGAUUCAGCUUCCACUGCUGCUUGUUUUAAUUCAGUGGUUCGAGGAGCAUAGACUAUAGGUUAAUGAAGUUCUUGAAGAUCGUAGUCAAGUUGAAAUUAUUUGAAUGCUACUUUUGUUGGUGUUUAUAAUGGGUAAGCCUCCAAAUAUGCAAUUAAUUUAGCUUAGCGAGCUUGUUUUUUUGUACAUGUUAUUGAAUAAAUUGGAUUUUUAACAUUAUCAUUAUACCAGAGGGAGAAAGAUGGUGGGUGGAAGUGGGAUUAGAGACAUGAAGGAGACACAAGAGAUGAUCGAUUUUCUUUUGCUCUAUUUUUUUUUUUUUUUUUUUUUUUUUUUUUUUUU